rnacentral:rRNA from 1 species
UACGAAGGGUGCAAACGUUGCUCGGAAUUAUUGGGCGUAAAGCGCACGUAGGCGGCUUUGCAAGUCCGAUGUGAAAUCCCACGGCUCAACCAUGGAAGCGCAUCGGAAACUGCAGAGCUUGAGUACAAAAGAGGAUCGCGGAAUUCCCGGUGUAGAGGUGAAAUUCGUAGAUAUCGGGAGGAACACCAGUGGCGAAGGCGGCGAUCUGGGUUGAUACUGACGCUGAGGUGCGAAAGCGUGGGGAGCAAACAGG